UACAACUUUCAGCAACGGAUCUCUUGGCUCUCGCAUCGAUGAAGAACGCAGCGAAAUGCGAUAAGUAAUGUGAAUUGCAGAAUUCAGUGAAUCAUC
rnacentral:rRNA from 1 species